GAUGAAGAACUUAGCGAAAUGCGAUAAGUAAUGUGAAUUGCAGAAUUCAGUGAAUCAUCGAAUCUUUGAACGCACCUUGCGCCCUUUGGCUAUUCCGAAGGGCAUGCCUGUUUGAGUAUCAUGAACACCUCAACUCUCAUGGUUUGCCAUGAUGAGCUUGGACUCUGGGGGUCUUGCUGGCCUAUGGUCAGCUCCUCUCAAAUAAAUCAGCUUGCCAGUGUUUGGUGGCAUCACAGGUGUGAUAACUAUCUACGCUUGUGGUUUUCCAUCAGGUAACCUUCAGUGAUGGAGGUUCGCUGGAGCUCAUAAAUGUCCCUCCUCAGCGAGGACAGCUUUUUGAACGUUUGAUCUCAAAUCAGGUAGGACUACCCGCUGAACUUAAGCAUAUCAAUAAGCGGAGGA
rnacentral:misc_RNA from 1 species